AUUGAACGCUUGCGGCAGGCCUAACACAUGCAAGUCGAACGAUUGGCGGACGGGUGAGUAAUGUCUGGUAAACUGCCCGAUGGAUGGGGAUAACUCCUGGAAACGUUAGCUAAUACCGCAUACCAUCGGAUGUGCCCAGCUGGGAUUAGCUAGUAGGUGGGGUAACGGCUCACCUAGGCGACGAUCCCUAGCUGGUCUGAGAGGAUGACAAGACACACUGGAACUGAGACACGGUCCAGACGCCUACGGGAGGCAGCAGUGGGGAAUAGUGCAAAAUGGGCGCAAGCCGGAUGCAGCCAUGCCGAGUGUAUGAAGAAGGACUUAGGGUUGUAAAGUAAGGUAAGCGAGGAGGCGUUACUCGCAGAAGAAGCACCGGCGAACUCCGUGCCAGCAGCCGCGGUAAUUC
rnacentral:rRNA from 1 species